GACGUAGGGCGCGAGCGUUGUCCGGAUUUAUUGGGCGUAAAGAGCUCGUAGGCGGCUUGUCGCGUCGUCUGUGAAAUCCCGCGGCUCAACCGCGGGUCUGCAGUCGAUACGGGCAGGCUAGAGUUCGGUAGGGGAGACUGGAAUUCCUGGUGUAGCGGUGAAAUGCGCAGAUAUCAGGAGGAACACCGGUGGCGAAGGCGGGUCUCUGGGCCGAUACUGACGCUGAGGCGCGAAAGCGCGGGGAGCGAACAGG
rnacentral:rRNA from 1 species